AACGAACGCUGGCGGCAGGCCUAACACAUGCAAGUCGAGCGAGGACUUCGGUCCUAGCGGCGGACGGGUGAGUAACGCGUGGGAACGUGCCCCUUGGUACGGAAUAGCCCCGGGAAACUGGGAGUAAUACCGUAUGAGCUCUACGGAGGAAAGAUUUAUCGCCAAGGGAUCGGCCCGCGUUGGAUUAGGUAGUUGGUGGGGUAAUGGCCUACCAAGCCGACGAUCCAUAGCUGGUUUGAGAGGAUGAUCAGCCACACUGGGACUGAGACACGGCCCAGACUCCUACGGGAGGCAGCAGUGGGGAAUCUUAGACAAUGGGCGCAAGCCUGAUCUAGCCAUGCCGCGUGAGCGAUGAAGGCCUUAGGGUUGUAAAGCUCUUUCAGCGGGGAAGAUAAUGACGGUACCCGCAGAAGAAGCCCCGGCUAACUUCGUGCCAGCCGCCGCAGUAAAAC
rnacentral:rRNA from 1 species